GCUAUCAGUGUUCGCCAGGCUAGGAAGUCUUCGUCAGGAGCCGGAGUCGAAGAACCGUCGUCGACGCUAUCGAGGAAGGAGGAGGAGGCCGGGGGACUCUGGUUUUUAUUUUCUCUCGCUUGCGUGAAGAGAUGUGGGCUGCGGACGUCGAAGUUACAUUUGCAAUUUGAUUUGUUUGUGAAACGAACACGUUGUCUUCGUGAUCGUAUGGUUUUCCUCUCUCAUCGUAGGGCCGACGGUGCAUCGGACAGCCGACUGGUCCGGUCCAAUGACCAUCGAACCUAAUCCGAAAUGCACCCUGGCAAAAACCUGAGAAGUUCUUAGAACCCCAUACUCCUUGCCUUUGUUUGUUCCGCCUCGUCCGUCCUUCCCUCCCAACCUCCGUCAGAAACCCUAACCUGAGACAAUGGACCUGGAGCCCUCAAACCCUCCACCGGCGAGCUUCGUCGAUCGAAUCGUGAAUUUUCUGGUGGACAUAAAGGGACCAACUUUGGCACAUUUACCUGUACGUGCAUUUGAAGGUGGAACCAGGAGAAACAUAUCAAAGUUCGAGCUAGUGGAAAGCUGCUGAGUUUGGUCCUUCAAAAGAUGGUUCCAAUGUUUGAAACAUCAAUUGGACCAUCGCGGAUGUAAGAAAACGUCAACAUUAUGGUUCAAGCAAUCGAGUUCAAACUGAGCUAAGGUUUUCUAUUAUUAAGCUUGUAUUCAGGGCCGGCUGAAAGGUAAGGCCACCAAAGCUCUUGCUUUAGGCCCCCAUCCCCAGGCUCUCCACUAGUUACCAUCUAUCUUGGUGUCUCCACCAGACUAUCGCAUCCAGCAGUCCACCCGCGAGAAGAUGAAUGCAGCUGGCGGUGGCACCAGAGGAUGUAAAAGAGUGGGGCAGUGACGAGGAUGGACCAGAAGAGACCCCUAUCCCUGGUCCCCCGCUCCCAAGGAUUCAUGCACCCCAAUGUUGGCACGAUAAUCAAUAGGUCGAGCACCACGAGGAGGAGGCUCUUCGUCUACCUAAUGGGGAGAGGAGCGAUCAAUGCGGCUCUGUGAUCCGUGGGGAAGGGCGGCUGGUGGUGGAUGAGGUUCGGAUCUGGGCGUGCGAUGCUCACCUCCACGGAGGGCUCGGUCGGUGCAAGGAAAUGGGCCGCCAGUGGUGCGUAUGGAGGAAACGGUGGCAAGGGCAAGGCGACCCAAGGGGACGUGAUGGGUUCCCUUCAUCAGUACCAAAUUGAUGGAAGAGAGGUGGG